rnacentral:rRNA from 1 species
CACGCCGUAAACGAUGAGUGCUAAGUGUUGGAGGGUUUCCGCCCUUCAGUGCUGCAGCUAACGCAUUAAGCACUCCGCCUGGGGAGUACGGUCGCAAGACUGAAACUCAAAGGAAUUGACGGGGGCCCGCACAAGCGGUGGAGCAUGUGGUUUAAUUCGAAGCAACGCGAAGAACCUUACCAGGUCUUGACAUCCUUUUGCCUUUCCUAGAGAUAGGAAUUUCCCUUCGGGGACAAAAGUGACAGGUGG